rnacentral:rRNA from 1 species
AACGCUAGCUACAGGCUUAACACAUGCAAGUCGAGGGGCAGCACAGUGUAGCAAUACAUGGGUGGCGACCGGCGCACGGGUGCGUAACGCGUAUCCAACCUUCCCGUUACUCUUGGAUAGCCUUCCGAAAGGGAGAUUAAUACAAGAUGGUAUUCAAAUUCCGCAUGUUAUUUGAAUUAAAGAUUUAUCGGUAACGGAUGGGGAUGCGUGACAUUAGAUAGUAGGCGGGGUAACGGCCCACCUAGUCUACGAUGUCUAGGGGUUCUGAGAGGAAGGUCCCCCACACUGGAACUGAGACACGGUCCAGACUCCUACGGGAGGCAGCAGUGAGGAAUAUUGGUCAAUGGUCGGAAGACUGAACCAGCCAAGUAGCGUGAAGGAUGAAGGUUCUAUGGAUUGUAAACUUCUUUUAUACGGGAAUAAAACACCUUACGUGUAGGGUCUUGUAUGUACCGUAUGAAUAAGCAUCGGCUAACUCCGUGCCAGCAGCCGCGGUAAUACGGAGGAUGCGAGCGUUAUCCGGAUUUAUUGGGUUUAAAGGGAGCGUAGACGGGAUGUUAAGUCAGUUGUGAAAGGCUGCGGCUCAACCGCAGCACUGCAGUUGAUACUGGCGUCCUUGAGUGCGGUUGAGGUAUGUGGAAUUCGUGGUGUAGCGGUGAAAUGCUUAGAUAUCACGAAGAACUCCGAUUG